CCUCCUUUCUAAGGAUAUUGAUGACUGGUUCGCUAGUCAUCCGGGUUGUUGUCUAUUUAUCUCUUUAUCAUAUUAGCUAGUUCUUGGUGUUUCCUUAUGUAGACUGGGCUAGUAGCUCAGUUUGGUUAGAGCGCGCGCUUGAUAAGCGUGAGGUCGGAGGUUCAAGUCCUCCCUGGCCCACCAUUUUACUUGGGGGAUUAGCUCAGCUGGGAGAGCGCCUGAUUUGCAUUCAGGAGGUCGUCAGUUCGAUCCCGAUAUCCUCCACCAUUACUAACUAAUUGUCUUAUUUGUUCUUUGAUAAUGUAAAUAUGAAACUAAUAACUGAUCAAAUAAUUAUAUUUAAUUUUAUAAUUAUUUUUAUUUUUUUACGUACAAAAUUUUUCUCUGUACGUAAUUGCAAUCAAGCGCAAAAGGGCAUUUAGUGGAUGCCUUGGCAUCAAGAGACGAUNAAGGACGUGGCAGGCUGCGAAAAGCUAAGGGGAAGUUGUCAACACACUUUGAUCCUUAAAUUUCCGAAUGGGGAAACCC
rnacentral:misc_RNA from 1 species